rnacentral:lncRNA from 1 species
CAUAAUCAACGAGCUAUACUUGAUGAGUGGAUAGAUAUUGACAAUAAAGAUAGGUGUUAUGCAUAAGCACAUGUUCAUUACCAAUGACAUAGUGAUUCAUCUACAAGUAUUGUGAGGUGAUUAGAGUUGCACAGCACAUAUGAUGCGUGAUGGGCAGUUAGUCUAUGAUCAUUAUUUAAUAAUGAUCAAAGACAUUAAGAAGCUUGAAAGGCUCGACA